rnacentral:rRNA from 1 species
CAGCACCUCAAGUGGUCAGGAUGAUUAUUGGGCCUAAAGCAUCCGUAGCCUGCUUUGUUAGUUUUUGGUUAAAUCCAUAUGCUCAACGUAUGGGCUGCCGGGAAUACUGCAAAGCUAGGGAGUGGGAGAGGUAGACGGUACUCGGUAGGAAGGGGUAAAAUCCUUUGAUCUAUUGAUGACCACCUGUGGCGAAGGCGGUCUACCAGAACACGUCCGACGGUGAGGGAUGAAAGCUGGGGGAGCGAACCGGAUUAGAUACCCGAGUAGUCC